UACGUAGGGACCGAGCGUUGUCCGGAAUCAUUGGGCGUAAAGAGCGUGUAGGCGGCCACUUAAGUCCUGCGUGAAAUCUUACGGCUCAACCGCAAGCGGUCGUGGGAAACUGGGUGGCUAGAGUGCGGGAGAGGAGAGUGGAAUUCCUGGUGUAGCGGUGGAAUGCGCAGAUAUCAGGAAGAACACCCGUGGCGAAGGCGGCUCUCUGGAACGCAACUGACGCUGAGACGCGAAAGCGUGGGGAGCAAACAGG
rnacentral:rRNA from 1 species